rnacentral:pre_miRNA from 12 species
GAUCUCGACACAGUUAAUGGCACUGGAAGAAUUCACGGGGUAAUUUUUAUACAACCCGUGAUCUCUUAGUGGCAUCUAUGGUGCGAGAAU